rnacentral:ncRNA from 1 species
AACGGAUUGGGAGUGUAGUUUAGACGGGCGAAGAAUGAAAUCUCAAGACCCCAGUUUGGACUAACGGAGGCGAAGGCGACACUCUUAGACGUAUCUUAGGAUCAAGGACGAAGGCAGGAGUAUCGAAAGUGAUUAGACACCGCUGUAGUUCCUGCAGUAAACUAUGCCGACAGCCUGUGUGUGAGAAUACGUGGGCGGGAGAAAUCUUAGUGUUCGGGCUCUGGGGAUAGUACGCUCGCAAGGGUGAAACUUAAAGCGAAAUUGACGGAAGGACACUACCAGGAGUGGAUUGUGCUGCUUAAUUUAACUCAACGCGGGAAAACUUACCAGGGUCAAGUCAUUCGUUGAUCGAAUACGUGAGAAUGGCAGGAGUGGUGCAUGGCCGUUGGAAAUUGAUGGGGCGACCUUUAGCUUAAAUGCUUAAACCAGUGAGACCUCCUUGACAGGUGUUCUGUAACACAGGAGGGUGGAGGCUAUAACAGGUCCGUGAUGCCCUUAGAUAUCCUGGGCAGCAAGCGCAAUACAAUAUCUCUUCAGUAGACAAAGUGAUUUGAGAUGAGUAGGAUCUACGUUUGUAAAUACGUAGUGAAUAAGGAAUUCCUAGUAACGGUGCCUCAUCAAGGCAUGGUGAAUGUGUCCCUGUUCUUUGUACACACCGCCCGUCACUAUUUCAGAUGGUCAUAGGGAUGAAGAGCUUCGGCUCUGAAUAUCUAUGGCUAGAUAAAGUACAAGUCGUAACAAGGUUUCAGUUGGAGAACCAGCUGAAGGAUCAUUU